rnacentral:lncRNA from 1 species
GGAGCAUUUCACAAUUAUCACCCAUCGCGACAGGUCGCUAAGCGGGAUUCGCAGCCGCCGAUACACCCAGUAAGAAGGAGCGUAUCCUCAAAAGCUUUGCCCAACUGAAAUAUGGAUGUCAUCGACGAGGAAACAGGUACGUAAGUACCUCGUGAUCGUGACGUCCUUUAUUACCGGAGUAUCAAACAGAUUGCCUGCAGACUUCCUGUGCAUAUUUUAUUCGCAUACGGUUACCGGUCAGAAGAAGUUCAGCAUACCCUGCAAGCGAACUGGUGGAUCAAGAUGAAGAGCAGCAUUAUUCUCUUAGGGUUUAUGGCCCUCAUAUUCACGGUUCCUUAUCCAUACGCUACAACAGCCCAAAAUACUCAAUGCGAACCUGGAACCACCGUAAAGAUCGCUUGCAAUUCCUGUGCCUGCAGAUCUGACGGGACUAUAGGCAUUUGCACCGAACAUACCUGCCCUCAGCCAGUUCCUAAUGAUACCAUGAACUGAAUUCUGGAUAUUUUCGGGCAAAAUCAUCGCAGUAGAUGUCGCAUUAUUUAUUCAUUCUAUUCUCUUUAUCCAAAGCAAAAUUUUAUGUAGCGAUAGAUAAAUUUUACUUUGAUGGUUAACCUUCUAUUUACGCUUGUGUCAAGCCCAAAAAGCUGUGAGAAGAGUGUAAAAAUAGCGCUUCAAACAGCGCACGAAACUAAAAUCAUUGGAUAUUUGAUACAAUAAAAUUUAAUAGACAGCA